GACGAACGCUGGCGGCGUGCUUAACACAUGCAAGUCGAACGGCAAGGCCCUGCUUGCUGGGUAUUCGAGUGGCGAAGGGGCGAGUAACACGUGGGUGCACUGCACUGCACUUCGGGAUAGGCCUGGGAAACUGGGUCUAAUACCGGAUAGGAGCCAUUACCUGUGUGAUGGUUGGAGAGUUUUUUCGGUGUAGGAUGAGCUCGCGGCCUAUAAGCUUGUUGGUGGGGUAAUGGCCUACCAACGCGGCGACGGGUAGCUGGCCUGAGAGGGUGGACGGCUACAUUGGGACUGAGAGACGGCCCAGACUCCGACGGGUGGCAGCAGGGGGGAAUAUUGCACAAGGGGCGCAAGCCGGAUGCAGCGACGCCGCGUGGGGGAUGACGGCCUUCUGGUUGUAAACUCCUUUCGCUAGAGACGAAGCUUUUUGUGACGGUACCUAGAUAAGAAGCACCGGCUAACUACGUG
rnacentral:rRNA from 1 species